rnacentral:rRNA from 1 species
AUUGAACGCUGGCGGCAUGCCUUACACAUGCAAGUCGAACGGUAACGGGCCUUCGGGUGCCGACGAGUGGCGAACGGGUGAGUAAUGUAUCGGAACGUACCUUUCAGUGGGGGAUAACGUAGCGAAAGUUACGCUAAUACCGCAUAUUCUGUGAGCAGGAAAGCAGGGGAUCGCAAGACCUUGCGCUGAUUGAGCGGCCGAUAUCAGAUUAGCUAGUUGGUGAGGUAAAGGCUCACCAAGGCGACAAUCUGUAGCGGGUCUGAGAGGAUGAUCCGCCACACUGGAACGGAGACACGGUCCAGACUCCUACGGGAGGCAGCAGUGGGGAAUUUUGGACAAUGGGGGCAACCCUGAUCCAGCCAUGCCGCGUGAGUGAAGAAGGCCUUCGGGUUGUAAAGCUCUUUCGGCCGGGAAGAAAUCGUAUGGGUUAAUACCCUGUGCGGAUGACGGUACCGGCAUAAGAAGCACCGGCUAACUACGUGCCAGCAGCCGCGGUAACAC